ensembl:lncRNA
GGGGUGGCAGGUAGCCUAGUGGUUAGAGUGGAGGGGUGGCAGGUAGCCUAGUGGUUAGAGUGUAGGGGCGGCAGGUAGCCUAGUGGUUAGAGUGUAGGGGUGGCAGGUAGCCUAGUGGUUAGAGUGUAGGGGCGGCAGGUAGCCUAGUGGUUAGAGUGUAGAGGUGGCAGGUAGCCUAGUGGUUAGAGUGUAGAGGUGGCAGGUAGCCUAGUGGUUAGAGUGUAGAGGCGGCAGGUAGCCUAGUGGUUAGAGUGUAGGGGUGGCAGGUAACCUAGUGGUUAGAGUGUAGGGGUGGCAGGUAGCCUAGUGGUUAGAGUGUAGGGGGGGCAGGUAGCCUAGUGGUUAGAGUGUAGGGGUGGAAAGGUAGCCUAGUGGUUAGAGUGUAGGGGUGGCAGGUAGCCUAGUGGUUAGAGUGUAGAGGUGGCAGGUAGCCUAGUGGUUAGAGUGUAGAGGUGGCAGGUAGCCUAGUGGUUAGAGUGUAGGGGUGGCAGGUAGCCUAGUGGUUAGAGUGUAGGGGUGGCAGGUAACCUAGUGGUUAGAGUGUAGGGGUGGCAGGUAGCCUAGUGGUUAGAGUGUAGGGGUGGCAGGUAGCCUAGUGGUUAGAG